UACGGAGGGUGCGAGCGUUGUCCGGAAUCACUGGGCGUAAAGGGCGCGUAGGUGGCGGAGCAAGUCAACGGUGAAAGCUCGACGCUCAACGUCGAGUCGGCCGUCGAGACUGCUUUGCUCGAGCACUGUAGAGGCAGAUGGAAUUCCGGGUGUAGCGGUGGAAUGCGUAGAGAUCCGGAAGAACACCGGUGGCGAAGGCGGUCUGC
rnacentral:rRNA from 1 species